AUGGAUCUGAAAAGGAUCGAUGCAAUGUCUGUGCAUGAUUCUAAUCAAUCCAGUGUGACAAACCUAACCACGGGGAUGGUCUCGUGCAAUGAAGUAGAAACCGUUGGUACCAUUGUCGAUUGGUCAAGUCUUGUGAUCGAACCUGAAAAUGAUGGGGAUGAAAAGGGGAUUCCGGAUGAAAAGCCGGCGGACGAGAAAGCCAUGUUUGCUCUGUUGGGUUUGAAAACAGAGGAGGGCGAGGGAAAAACUAACCUUGGUCCUGUUGUCACUCCUACUCCUGAUUAUGACUUGGAUGAUGUCAAAGGGGCAGCUAUUGCUGUUGAUGAUAAUGCUCCAGAGGAGCCACUUAUUGCGUGGGAUGAACGAAAACCAAAGAUGGAUAUAGGGACCCCUUAUCCUGAUAUGGCUGCGUUUAGAAAGGCUAUAAAACAGUUCGCUAUCAAUGGAGAGUUCGAAUAUGGCACUAAAAAAAAUGAGCCGGCAAGGUUUCAGGCUUUUUGUAAAGGUCAAUCCAUGAUAGGCCAACCUUGCAAAUGGUCCUUAACUGCUAGUUGGCAGAGAGACGAAAAUUGUGUGAUGGUUGUGAAGCAUCAAAUAGAACAUAUUUGUAGUUCAACGAGUGGAAAAGUGACUAGAAUGACAAGUCAAUCUUGGGUGGCUGACAAGGCAGCAACUAUGCUUAAGAAAGAUCCAACCAUUGGUGCUGUGAAGAUACUUAAAGAGUUACAGGAAGAGCAUCAUGUCACACUUGACUAUAACACAGUGUGGAAAGGCAAACAAAAGGCAGCAACCAGCUUGUAUGGGAGUUGGGAAGAAAGUUUCAGGAUGUUGUACAACUACAAGGCCGAGAUAGAAUUGAGGGCAUAUAGGGCGGAAGAAUAUCAACAUCACAUGACAAAGGUGUUUGAGGCAUCUGAGAAAGCGUAUCCUUACCUUAGGGAUUACCAUAAUCUGUCAUUUGUCAUACACCAAUUAAAUGCAAAGACUCGAGGACUAGGACAUCUCAAGGCUAAAGCAUCAGCUGAUUGGAGUGGAGAAGUGAAAAAUGAUAACAAAGGGGAUGAAAGACAUGUCGUCAAAACACUCACACAUGAGUGUACAUGUCUGCAAUGGCAGCACACAGGCAAGCCUUGUGACCAUGCACUAGCCUUCAUAAAUGUUUUGCAAGCUCGCAACUUUGUGAACAUGGAGGAUUAUGUGCACGAGUACUACUCAGUUAGCAGAUUCAGGGCAGCAUAUGAAGGUGUAAUUGAGCCCCUUACGGACAAGAAUCAGUGGCCACAUGUUGAUACAGGCUUUGUGUUGCGUCCACCAAUUCCAAAAGGCAAGAAAAAAGGUGCUGGAAGAACAAGAAAACAGAGGAUGAAGAGUUGGUGGGAAGGUGGAUCAAGGAAGGGAUCAUUGAACAAAUGCAACAAAUGCGGGGACGUAGGACAUAGAGAAGCCGGCUGUCCUCAAAAUGGAACAAAGAAACGGAAAAGUAUGGGGAAAAAGAAUCCAUCUCCAUGGUUUGAUGUCUCAGUUAGCAAUGUGAUUCCAUCUACACCAACCAAGAGCAAGAAUGUCGCCACUUGUAGCAGUCCUGGAGCUGUGACAAGAAGCCAAGCGGCAUCUCAAGCUAGUCCUGGAGCUGUCACAAGGAGCCAAGCAACAUCUGAAGCUGCUACUCCACCACCAAAGUCUCCAGCAAAAGGAAAGAAGAAGAAAAUGACUCCAAAGAGGAAGAAAUUAAGCGAUCUGUGA
rnacentral:rRNA from 1 species